UACGGAGGGUGCAAGCGUUAUCCGGAAUUACUGGGCGUAAAGGGUGCGUAGGUGGUUUGUUAAGUCUGCUGUGAAAUCCCCGGGCUCAACCUGGGAAUGGCAGUGGAUACUGGCAAGCUAGAGUGCGGUAGAGGGUAGUGGAAUUCCCGGUGUAGCAGUGAAAUGCGUAGAGAUCGGGAGGAACACCAGUGGCGAAGGCGGCUACCUGGACCAGCACUGACACUGAAGCACGAAAGCGUGGGGAGCAAACAGG
rnacentral:rRNA from 1 species